GCUCGAUUAGCUCAGCUGGUUAGAGCGUGGUGCUAAUAAUCGGCUCAGUCACUGUGCUAAAUUUGAUACGCCAAGGUCACAGGUUCGAUCCCUGUAUCGAGCA